rnacentral:rRNA from 1 species
UACCAGCACCCCGAGUGGUCGGGACGAUUAUUGGGCCUAAAGCAUCCGUAGCCGGUUCUGCAAGUCUUCCGUUAAAUCCAUCUGCUUAACAGAUGGGCUGCAGAGGAUACUAUAGAGCUAGGAGGCGGGAGAGGCAAGCGGUACUUAGUGGGUAGGGGUAAAAUCCGUUGAUCCACUGAAGACCACCAGUGGCGAAGGCGGCUUGCCAGAACGCGCUCGACGGUGAGGGAUGAAAGCUGGGGGAGCAAACCG